UACGGAGGGGGCUAGCGUUGUUCGGAAUUACUGGGCGUAAAGCGCGCGUAGGCGGGCUGGAAAGUUGGGGGUGAAAUCCCGGGGCUCAACCCCGGAACUGCCCUCAAAACUAUCAGUCUGGAGUUCGAGAGAGGUGAGUGGAAUUCCGAGUGUAGAGGUGAAAUUCGUAGAUAUUCGGAGGAACACCGGUGGCGAAGGCGGCUCACUGGCUCGAUACUGACGCUGAGGCGCGAAAGCGUGGGGAGCAAACAGG
rnacentral:rRNA from 1 species